GCUUCAGAUGAUGAGCAGUUCCUUCCCUUCUCCAUACCACUACCUCCACCAUGCUUCACAGAUGAGUUGGUAGGCUUCAGAUGAUGAGCAGUUCCUUCCCUUCUCCAUACCACUACCUCCACCAUGCUUCACAGAUGAGGUGGUAUGAUUCAGAUGAUGAGCAGUUCCUUCCCUUCUCCAUACCACUACCUCCACCAUGCUUCACAGAUGAGGUGGUAUGAUUCAGAUGAUGAGCAGUUCCUUCCCUUCUCCAUACCACUACCUCCACCAUGCUUCACAGAUGAGGUGGUAUGAUUCAGAUGAUGAGCAGUUCCUUCCCUUCUCCAUACCACUACCUCCACCAUGCUUCACAGAUGAGGUGGUAUGAUUCAGAUGAUGAGCAGUUCCUUCCCUUCUCCAUACCACUACCUCCACCAUGCUUCACAGAUGAGGUGGUAUGAUUCAGAUGAUGAGCAGUUCCUUCCCUUCUCCAUACCACUACCUCCACCAUGCUUCACAGAUGAGGUGGUAUGAUUCAGAUGAUGAGCAGUUCCUUCCCUUCUCCAUACCACUACCUCCACCAUGCUUCACAGAUGAGGUGGUAUGAUUCAGAUGAUGAGCAGUUCCUUCCCUUCUCCAUACCACUACCUCCACCAUGCUUCACAGAUGAGGUGGUAUGAUUCAGAUGAUGAGCAGUUCCUUCCCUUCUCCAUACCACUACCUCCACCAUGCUUCACAGAUGAGGUGGUAUGAUUCAGAUGAUGAGCAGUUCCUUCCCUUCUCCAUACCACUACCUCCACCAUGCUUCACAGAUGAGGUGGUAUGC